rnacentral:lncRNA from 1 species
GUUGCAACCCCGACAGGGUGCCUUGUAGGAUGAGAGUUGCUUCUCUACAUGGGUGGCCUUGUCCACUUUCUUGGGGUCGAAGGGCAGACGGCAGAGUGGGCACAGAGGGGACGGCACCUGCAGACAUGGCUGGAGGCACUCCCCGCAGAACCUGCAGGUGAUACGGACCUGAGGCUACUCCCUCCAUGCAGGCAUAAACAGAGCGGCGCCUGGCUGCUACUGCUAGUUCUGCAGACAGUUUUGUGUUCCUAUCCCAGCCCCAGCCCACCCGCAGCGGGACACAGACAAGAGGUGAGUGGUCCCUCCAAACAGGACAGCCCUCUUACUUGGCAUGUCCCCUGCGGCCUGUACCCUCAGAAGGAACAUCCCUGCAGCAGGGUGCGGGCUCUUUCCUCAAAGUCUCCUGAUUGUGUGGUGACUGACAGAACCUUAGGGGUCAGGGAGUAAAAUUACUAACAACUGUGAAGAAGAAAACGCCAGGCCUGGAGCCCUGAUUCACCAGGUGGUCAAAGCUGGCCAGGACAGGGUUCUAGGCCACAGGAGUCUUGUGUCCUGCGAAUCAAAGCUCAGUGACAGGAGGGACUGUGCACUCUCUCGCUGCCAUGCUCCCAGACACCAGCAGCAUGAGUUCUGUCUUUGCCUGGCCAAACCCCGAGCUGGUGUUUGUGGGAUCCUCUGCUCAGCAGCUGCACACCAGUGGGGAACGGAAGGAAAGGAGUGUCACUGUGCGAGCUGAUGGCUGGUCUUGCUGCCAACCUGACUACAUCUGGAAUUAGCUACAACCAAAUGGCUGGGCACACCUGUGAGGGAUUUUUUUUUUUUUCUAAUUAAAGCAUUUGAUGUGGGUAGACCCACUUCUAAUCCAGAUCUUUGAGACCUUGAAUCUGGGCCGUAACUUCUGCUGGCAGCCGAUGAUAUAAAGGACACAAAGAGGAAGUUCGCUCUCUGCCUGCUUGUGCUUGCUCUCACUGGCAGGUCCAUUCCUUCACUGGCAUUACACUCUACUUUUUGGAAUUCUGGAGUAUCCUGAAGACCAGCUGAGACACCUGAUGCUGUAGACUGAACAAGUACUGGAUUCUUUGGCCAUUGUUGGACUAGCAAGACUAUGGCCUGUAAACCAUUCUAAUAAACCAAUCCCAUAUA